UUUAAUUAAAAUUUCGCGACAUUUGACAAUUCGGAUCUGGCAACCCUGCUUAGGACAACGACCCCCGAACGCUGUCCACUCAGCAGCAAGGCCCGCAGUGUUGGAUCAGCUUGCUUUGAGUGGACAUGGGGGACGCUGCCAGCAACAGUUCGUUAGACCAAAGUUACCGGAUGCAGCAGGAAGCUCGCUUAACGCAAGUGACAGCUCGCCUGACGCAGAUGACAACUCUCUUGACGCAGGCGACAGAUCACCUGUGGGAGGUGACAGAUCACCUGAUGCAGGUGGUAACUCGAAUGUCGAUGGUGGCAGAUGGCUCGACGCUGGGGACACCUCGCUUGAAGCGGGACGUAGCUCGCUUGACGCGGGAAACAAAUGGCUUGAUAAAGGUGGGGGAUCGCUUGGUGAAGGAAACCGAUGCCUUGAGGAGGGUGGCGGAUCGCUUGGUGCAGGAAACCGAUGCCUUGAGGCGAGUGACAGCUAGCAUGGCGUAGGAGAGAACUCCCAGAUUACAGAUUCCCAAGGCUAGUGAGGCUACCAGACUGAUUCCCAAGGCUAGUGAGGCUACCAGACUGAUUCCCAAGGCUAGUGAGGCUACCAGACUGAUUCCCAAGGCUAGUGAGGCUACCAGACUGAUUCCCAAGGCUAGUGAGGCUACCAGACUGAUUCCCAAGGCUAGUGAGGCUACCAGACUGAUUCCCAAGGCUAGUGAGGCUACCAGACUGAUUCCCAAGGCUAGUGAGGCUAUACCAGUCAGAUUGAAAAGGCCAGUGAGGCUACCAGACGGAUCACCAAAGAAGUUCCAGGGAUCAAUGGCCCCGUGGCCUGAUCUUCCCCUCCCUAAGUCCAUAGACUAGGGUACGAUACGGUAUUCAGGUUUAGGUCUACCUUGAGCCAGGUGCUUGACCACUUUGUAUAAUCUUGAAGAGGCGUUUGGGACUGGAAAAAUGUUGUUUUUGUCCAUUUGUAUAUAGGCAAGAGUUUUGUUUAUUUAGUGUUAACAUCGUUCAAUUUUCUUAGACCAGUCUCUUGACUGGUCUAAGAAAUACUGGUUGACCAGUAUUUGAUGGUCACAUUAUCUUGAGGUGAGAGCCAACUAGUCAGCAGAUUGUGUACAUAAGUAUAUAUAUGAUGCCAAAUAAGAUGAACUACCUUUUAUAUUUUAAACGAAUAUGAACUUUUAUUGACAUUUUUGUUGCCCGAGAAGCUUCACUCAUUCCUGUCAAUGUGAUGAAUAUUGUGAUGUAAAUUUAAAUGUUUAUAUAAAUCUGAAGUUACAUAUUGUGUUCAGUGAUCUGAUAAGCAUAGAAUACCUGCCAAAUGUGAGCAUUGAUAUUCUGAAAUGUGAUGAAAUUUUUAAUGUUCUGUAUGUGAAGUUUUACACACAAUGGAGCAUAUUUAUAAUAUUGACUCAACGUAAACAGUUUUUUGGCAUUGAAUACAAAAUUCAAACACUCUCAGCCAGACGGUUAAGGGUCGGGUUAAAUAGCUUAAAUGUGUAGAAUAGUAAACCCCACAUUGAGUUAGGAAAAUACUAUUUGUCAUAUAUAGAUACUUUACACAAGAUUUCCCCAUUUUGCACCCGCA
rnacentral:misc_RNA from 1 species